rnacentral:rRNA from 1 species
AACGAACGCUGGCGGCAUGCCUAACACAUGCAAGUCGAACGAGACCUUCGGGUCUAGUGGCGCACGGGUGCGUAACGCGUGGGAACCUGCCCUUAGGUUCGGAAUAACUCCCCGAAAGGGGUGCUAAUACCGGAUAAUGUCUUCGGACCAAAGAUUUAUCGCCUUUGGAUGGGCCCGCGUUGGAUUCGCUAGUUGGUAGGGUAAAAGCCUACCAAGGCGACGAUCCAUAGCUGGUCUGAGAGGAUGAUCAGCCACACUGGGACUGAGACACGGCCCAGACUCCUACGGGAGGCAGCAGUGGGGAAUAUUGGACAAUGGGCGAAAGCCUGAUCCAGCAAUGCCGCGUGAGUGAUGAAGGCCUUAGGGUUGUAAAGCUCUUUUACACGGGAUGAUAAUGACAGUACCGGGAGAAUAAGCUCCGGCUAACUACGUG